UACGGAGGGGGCUAGCGUUGUUCGGAAUUACUGGGCGUAAAGCGCACGUAGGCGGCUUGGCAAGUCGGGUGUGAAAACUCCAGGCUCAACCUGGAGACGCCACUCGAGACUGCUAUGGCUAGAGUCCGGUAGGGGACCACGGAAUUCCUGGUGUAGCGGUGAAAUGCGCAGAUAUCAGGAGGAACACCGGUGGCGAAGGCGGUGGUCUGGGCCGGCACUGACGCUGAGGAGCGAAAGCGUGGGGAGCAAACAGG
rnacentral:rRNA from 1 species